rnacentral:rRNA from 1 species
GGACAACCUGCCCUAAGGUCUGGCAUAACUCCGGGAAACUGGGGAUAAUUCCAGAUAAACCAUGGAUACUGGAAUGUACUGUGGUUAAAAGCUCCGGUGCCUUAGGAUGGAUCUGCGGCCUAUCAGGUAGUAGUGGGUGUAAUGUACCUACUAGCCUACGACGGGUACGGGUUGUGAGAGCAAGAGCCCGGAGAUGGAUUCUGAGACAUGAAUCCAGGCCCUACGGGGCGCAGCAGGCGCGAAAACUUUACAAUGCGGGAAACCGCGAUAAGGGGACACUGAGUGCCAGCACCAUGUGCUGGCUGUCCGCAUGUAUAAAUCACAUGUGUCAGCAAGGGCCGGGCAAGACCGGUGCCAGCCGCCGCGGUAACACCGGCGGCCCGAGUGGUGGCCAUUAUUAUUGGGUCUAAAGGGUCCGUAGCCGGUUUGAUCAGUCUUCCGGGAAAUCUGACAGCUCAACUGUUAGGCUUCUGGGGGAUACUGUCAGACUUGGAACCGGGAGAGGUAAGAGGUACUACAGGGGUAGGAGUGAAAUCUUGUAAUCCUUGUGGGACCACCAGUGGCGAAGGCGUCUUACCAGAACGGGUUUGACGGUGAGGGACGAAAGCUGGGGGCACGAACCGGAUUAGAUACCCGGGUAGUCCCAGCCGUAAACGAUGCUCGCUAGGUGUCUGGGAUGGUGCGACCGUUUCAGGUGCCGCAGGGAAGCCGUGAAGCGAGCCACCUGGGAAGUACGGCCGCAAGGCUGAAACUUAA